rnacentral:tRNA from 1 species
GGCCAGUUAGCUCAGUCAGUUGAGCGUGGUGCUAGCAAUGCUAAGGUUGCGGGUUCAAUUCCUGUUCAGUCCC